rnacentral:sRNA from 1 species
CUGACAGCUCUGGAGAAUGGGUCCUUCAUUCAUCCCCAGAGGAGGUACAGCAUGGGCAGCAGCUGGGCAAGCUUCCCAACACUGCUUGGCUGGAGUGCCAAGACCCUGACCUGAAAGGGUCCAUGUACCGCAGCUGCUUUAGGAGUGAGAGAAGAGUUUAAUCUCUGUAGCCCAGUCAGUCCAUGGCCUCU